UACGUAGGGUGCGAGCGUUAAUCGGAAUUACUGGGCGUAAAGCGUGCGCAGGCGGUCUGUUAAGACCGAUGUGAAAUCCCCGGGCUUAACCUGGGAACUGCAUUGGUGACUGGCAGGCUUUGAGUGUGGCAGAGGGAGGUAGAAUUCCACGUGUAGCAGUGAAAUGCGUAGAGAUGUGGAGGAAUACCGAUGGCGAAGGCAGCCUCCUGGGCCAACACUGACGCUGAGGCACGAAAGCGUGGGGAGCAAACAGG
rnacentral:rRNA from 1 species